rnacentral:rRNA from 1 species
CCCUUAGAGUUUGAUCCUGGCUCAGAAUGAACGUUGGCGGUGUGGAUUAGGCAUGCAAGUCGUGCGCGAAACGUAGCAAUACGUGGAGAGCGGCGAAAGGGAGAGUAAUACAUAGGUACGUACCCCCGGGUCUGGGAUAGCGGCGGGAAACUGCCGGUAAUACCAGAUAACGUCUCCGGACCAAAGGUGUGAUUCCACCUGGGGAGCGGCCUGUGGCCUAUCAGCUUGUUGGUGGGGUAAUGGCCUACCAAGGCAAAGACGGGUAUGGGGCGUGAGAGCGUGCCCCCACUCACUGGGACUGAGAUACUGCCCAGACACCUACGGGUGGCUGCAGUCGAGAAUCUUCGGCAAUGGGCGCAAGCCUGACCGAGCGACACCGCGUGCGGGAUGAAGGCCUUCGGGUUGUAAACCGCUGUCGUAGGGGAGGAAGGGUCCGUGAAGAACGGAACUUGACCGAUCCUAGGAGGAAGGGCCGGCUAAUCUCGUGCCAGCAGCCGCGGUAAUACGAGAGGCCCAAACGUUAUUCGGAUUUACUGGGCUUAAAGAGUUCGUAGGCGGCUUGGAAAGUGGGGUGUGAAAGCCCUCGGCUCAACCGAGGAAUUGCGCUCCAAACUACCGAGCUUGAGGAAGCUAGAGGUGAGCAGAACUGAUGGUGGAGCGGUGAAAUGCGUUGAUAUCAUCAGAAUACCGGAGGCGAAAGCGGCUCACUGGGACUUUUCUGACGCUGAGAACGAAAGCUAGGGGAGCA